rnacentral:rRNA from 1 species
UGCCCUAGUAACGGCGAGUGAAGCGGCAACAGCUCAAAUUUGAAAUCUGGCCUUUGGUCCGAGUUGUAAUUUGUAGAGGAUGAUUUUGGUGCGGUACUUUCCGAGUUCCCUGGAACGGGACGCCUUAGAGGGUGAGAGCCCCGUACGGUUGGAUGCCUAGCCUUUGUAAAUCUCCUUCGACGAGUCGAGUAGUUUGGGAAUGCUGCUCUAAAUGGGAGGUAAAUUUCUUCUAAAGCUAAAUACUAGCCAGAGACCGAUAGCGCACAAGUAGAGUGAUCGAAAGAUGAAAAGCACUUUGAAAAGAGGGUUAAACAGCACGUGAAAUUGUUGAAAGGGAAGCGCUUAUGACCAGACUUUUUCUAGGCGGAUCAUCCGGUGUUCUCACCGGUGCACUUCGCCUAGUUUAGGCCAGCAUCGGUUUUCGUAGGGAGAUAAAAGCUUCAGGAAUGUGGCUCCUUCGGGAGUGUUAUAGCCUGUUGUAUAAUAUCCUUAUGGGGACCGAGGUACGCGCUCUGCAAGGAUGCUGGCAUAAUGGUCAUCAGCGACCCGUCUUGAAACACGGACCAAGGAGUCGAACAUUUGUGCGAGUGUUUGGGUGUUAAACCCUCACGCGUAAUGAAAGUGAACGGAGGUGAGAGCCAUUUGGUGCAUCAUCGACCGAUCCUGAUGUCUUCGGAUGGAUUUGAGUAGGAGCAUAACUGUUCGGACCCGAAAGAUGGUGAACUAUGCGUGGAUAGGGUGAAGCCAGAGGAAACUCUGGUGGAGGCUCGCAGCGGUUCUGACGUGCAAAUCGAUCGUCAAAUCUGCGCAUGGGGGCGAAAGACUAAUCGA